GUGGAGUGAGGGCGGACCGGCCCUGGUGGGGGCCGCAGUCGAGGUCCGCAGCCUCCUCGGGGUUGAAAUCGGGCAUCAGCGCCGUUUAGAGAACACCGUCCUGCUGGGCAUGGCCGGGAUGCGAAGAUGGCCCUGCAACGCACCUCCUAGAAUUUGGUUACCUAGAAAACCAUGUGGAAUAAAACGACGAGGCUUAUGAUAUUUAAAAGACUUCUGCAUCGAAUUGGUGUUAUCAUAAGGGUUAUUUUAAUAACUGGCAUUCUCUAAGUUUCUACACCUGUUGGGGGAUGCAGUGCCGUGCCACAUUUCCCGUCUCCAGCAAGCGCAGUCAGAUUGGCGGUUCUGCGACUUCAUGCAAUGCCAGGGAGAGCCCCUUGAUUUAAUCAUCCUCCAGAGUUCCAUUCCAAUUGAUUUAGAUCCCUGAGGCUAAUUUUGACCAAAAUGGAAGGAGAAGCAGAAGGUGUGGAAAUCCAUGGCUUUCUGCACAACAGAUACACAUGAUGAGAAGUCUGUAUCCUCUUCCAGUGUUCAUAUCGCCUUCCACUGAAGCUCAUACCAGUUCCUCUAGCCAAGUUGUCAUGGCAACCCCAGCUGCCAAUGAGAUCAUGGAAGACAAGGUCAUAAUGGCAAUGGUGCCUUAAUAUUUUACCUGGCAAAGCCACUUAGUUAAUAAGAUGAAUAACCAUAAAUCAUAAACUCAUAGGAAGCUAGGCACCAUUCAUGUACAUGUUUAGUGUACAACUCUGAUGCUGAUCCUUAUUUUUCAGUGUGGACCAUGCACAGGUGCUGACCCUGCCUGUACAUGGAUUAAGGAACUGGGCUUUUCCUAAUGACAAGAAGUGGGGGGCGGGUCAUGGGAUCCCAGCCUCAAUCACAAAAGCCUUAUCAGAAACCCAAGGCAACUGCUUUCUGGCAUUCACUCCUAGCAGAAGAGAGCAGCAGCCCAGGGAAGAGGGGAGAAGGGCCACCUACACAGGCGGGAGAGGGAUGCAGACCCAAGGU
rnacentral:lncRNA from 1 species